rnacentral:tRNA from 1 species
UGGCUCAGUGGUAGAGUGCUUGCCUCAUAUGCAUGAGGCCCUGGGUUCAAUUCCUCG